rnacentral:rRNA from 1 species
AGUGAACGCUGGCGGUAGGCCUAACACAUGCAAGUCGAACGGCAGCACAGGAGAGCUUGCUCUCUGGGUGGCGAGUGGCGGACGGGUGAGGAAUACAUCGGAAUCUACUUUUUCGUGGGGGAUAACGGAGGGAAACUUACGCUAAUACCGCAUAUGACCUACAGGAGAAAGCAGGGGACCUUCGGGCCUUGCGCGAUUGUAUGAGCCGAUGUCGGAUUAGCUAGUUGGCGGGGUAAAGGCCCACCAAGGCGACGAUCCGUAGCUGGUCUGAGAGGAUGAUCAGCCACACUGGAACUGAGACACGGUCCAGACUCCUACGGGAGGCAGCAGUGGGGAAUAUUGGACAAUGGGUGCAAGCCUGAUCCAGCCAUACCGCGUGGGUGAAGAAGGCCUUCGGGUUGUAAAGCCCUUUUGUUGGGAAAGAAAUCCAGCUGGCUAAUACCCGGUUGGGAUGACGGUACCCAAAGAAUAAGCACCGGCUAACUUCGUGCCAGCCGCCGCCGUAA